UACGAAGGGGGCUAGCGUUGCUCGGAAUCAUUGGGCGUAAAGGGUGCGUAGGCGGGUUUUUAAGUCAGGGGUGAAAUCCUGGAGCUCAACUCCAGAACUGCCUUUGAUACUGAAGAUCUUGAGUUCGGGAGAGGUGAGUGGAACUGCGAGUGUAGAGGUGAAAUUCGUAGAUAUUCGCAAGAACACCAGUGGCGAAGGCGGCUCACUGGCCCGAUACUGACGCUGAGGCACGAAAGCGUGGGGAGCAAACAGG
rnacentral:rRNA from 1 species